rnacentral:rRNA from 1 species
GAUGAACGCUGGCGGCGUGCCUAAUACAUGCAAGUCGAGCGAACGGACGAGAAGCUUGCUUUUCUGAUGUUAGCGGCGGACGGGUGAGUAACACGUGGAUAACCUACCUAUAAGACUGGGAUAACUUCGGGAAACCGGAGCUAAUACCGGAUAAUAUUUUGAACCGCAUGGUUCAAAAGUGAAAGACGGUCUUGCUGUCACUUAUAGAUGGAUCCGCGCUGCAUUAGCUAGUUGGUAAGGUAACGGCUUACCAAGGCAACGAUGCAUAGCCGGCCUGAGAGGGUGAUCGGCCACACUGGAACUGAGACACGGUCCAGACUCCUACGGGAGGCAGCAGUAGGGAAUCUUCCGCAAUGGGCGAAAGCCUGACGGAGCAACGCCGCGUGAGUGAUGAAGGUCUUCGGAUCGUAAAACUCUGUUAUUAGGGAAGAACAUAUGUGUAAGUAACUGUGCACAUCUUGACGGUACCUAAUCAGAAAGCCACGGCUAACUACGUG